ensembl:snoRNA
GCAUGGCAAUGGAUUUAUGAUGAGGUCUGUGAGGUGGCCCCUUCAUAGUGUACUCCAUGCUAAAGUGAGCUGCAGUUCCUAACCAUUGGCACGCCGGAAUGGCCAUGGGCUUGACCACUGAAGCGAAUUGCACAGUU